rnacentral:rRNA from 1 species
ACCAGACUCCUACGGGAGGCAGCAGUGGGGAAUAUUGCACAAUGGGGGGAACCCUGAUGCAGCGACGCCGCGUGGGUGAAGGAGUAUUUCGGUAUGUAAAGCCCUAUCGGCAGGGAAGAAGCAAGACGGUACCUGACUAAGAAGCCCCGGCUAACUACGUGCCAGCAGCCGCGGUAAUACGUAGGGGGCGAGCGUUAUCCGGAUUCACUGGGUGUAAAGGGAGCGUAGACGGCCAAGCAAGCCAGGGGUGAAAGCCCGGGGCCCAACCCCGGGACUGCCCUUGGAACUGCACGGCUGGAGUGCGGGAGGGGCAGGCGGAAUUCCUGGUGUAGCGGUGAAAUGCGUAGAUAUCAGGAGGAACACCGGUGGCGAAGGCGGCUUACUGGACAGUAACUGACGUUGAGGCUCGAAAGCGUGGGGAGCGAACAGGAUUAGAUACCCCAGUA